GCAGCAGCCGCGGGAAUACAGAGGAUGCAAGCGUUAUCCGGAAUGAUUGGGCGUAAAGCGUCUGUAGGUGGCUUCUCAAGUCCGCCGUCAAAUCCCAGGGCCCAACCCUGGACAGGCGGUGGAAACUACCAAGCUGGAGUACGGUAGGGGCAGAGGGAAUUUCCGGUGUAGCAGUGAAAUGCGUAGGGAUGUGGAGGAAUACCGAUGGCGAAGGCAGCCCCCUGGGCCAAUACUGACGCUCAUGCACGAAAGCGUGGGGAGCAAACAGGAUUAGAUACCCCGGUAGUCCCUGUCUCUUAUAC
rnacentral:rRNA from 1 species